GUCAGAAACAUUUCAUAGUACUAUAUUAUGUCUAACUAUGUGAAAAAAAUCAAAUUGGAGUACGUCGGGCAAUUGAUUAUAUGAGUUUGUUAGAAAAACCACUUUCCUUUGCUCCUAGCGCCUUCUCGUUCGCUGUAUAGCGUUUUGAGCGGAUAAAGAGCACAAGUGUGCAUGGACACACAGGAUGAAUGGAAACAAGUUUUGUUAUGGUACUUUUGAUGAAAAGUGACUUUCUGACCUUCAAAUGUCACUUUUUUCAACUUAUCAUACUUUAUCAUCAAGUUUUACAUUUUAAUGUAAACAAUCAUAUUUCGUAUUAUUUUAGGGUCAGAAACAUUUCAUAGUACUAUAUUAUGUCUAACUAUGUGAAAAAAAUCAAAUUGGAGUACGUCGGGCAACUGAUUACAUGAGUUUGUUAGAAAAACCACUUUCCUUUGCUCCUAGCGCCUUCUCGUUCGCUGUAUAGCGUUUUGAGCGGAUAAAGAGCACAAGUGUGCAUGGACACAUAGGAUGAAUGGAAACAAGUUUUUGUUAUGGUACUUUUGAUGAAAAGUCACUUUCUGACCUUCAAAUGUCACUUUUUUCAACUUAUCAUACUUUAUCAUCAAGUUUUACAUUUUA
ensembl:lncRNA